rnacentral:rRNA from 1 species
GACAGAGGUGCCAAGCGUUAGGCGGAAUCACUGGGCUUAAAGCGUGUGUAAGCGGAUGCCUAAGUACCUUGUGAAAUCCCACGGCUCAACCGUGGAACUGCUUGGUAUACUGGGUGUCUUGAGCCAUCUAGGGGCUACCGGAACAAAUGGUGGAGCGGUGAAAUGCGUAGAUAUCAUUUGGAACGCCAAUGGUGAAAACAGGUAGCUGGGGAUGUGCUGACGCUGAGACACGAAAGCCAGGGGAGCAAACGGG